rnacentral:rRNA from 1 species
GGGAAGGGGAAGGAGGAGGUAGGCAGGGAAGAGAGAGGAGGAAGGAGGACCGCCAGCCGCUACCCGCGCCUACUCCUCCUCGUGGUCAGGGGGCGCGCCUUCGCGCUCGCGUUCCUCCCCUCCUCGGGCGCCGGCGGCUACUCUUCGCGAGCGUGUGCUGCCUGCUCAGUCUCUUGCGGAACGACGACCCCGAGCGGUUGAUGCGUCUACUCCUCCUCCUCGCGCCCCGGGGCUCCCCCGUGCGCUUACCGGACGGGGCCCUCCUCCUCCUCCUUCUGCUACUCCUACUCCUCCUCCUACUCUCCUCCCGAGGCCUCUCCGCCGGGUCCGUCCAGCUCGACACGGCCCUGACGGGGAUGGAGCUGUAGUAGUUGGCUGUCCAAACGUUCUCUCGCCCAAUUUUAAGACCUGUUCUUGUUCGUUACCAGUUCUCGAGAUCUACCGAGGUUAAUAAAUGGACCUUACCAACCAGAAUUGUUGUAAUUUCUCUGACUGAAACACUUAGUAUCGUUUAGGGGUGACCAAGUAGCCAAACCUCUUGAUUGAGCAUUCUAAAAAGUACGAUCCUUGAAGUUCCCUGUUCAAUCAGGUGUACUCAAGGAAGUUCGAUAAUACUUCCGAUGAUUCUUGAAGUUUCUUCUUUUUAUAUUCGAUUCUUGAGGUCUCUCCGCCGGGUCCGUCCGGCUCGACGUGGCCCUGACGGGGAUGGAGCUGUGACAGUUAGCUGUCGUUUCGGAGAAGCAAAGCUCGUCAUUACAUCGGGACAUAACCAUU